GAUGAACGCUAGCUACAGGCUUAACACAUGCAAGUCGAGGGACCGGCGCACGGGUGAGUAACACGUAUCCAACCUGCCCUUUACUCGGGGAUAGCCGUUCGAAAGAAAGAUUAAUACCCGAUAUAAAGGAUGGGGAUGCGUUCCUUUAGGUUGUUGGUGAGGUAACGGCCCACCCAGCCUUCGAUGGAGAGGGGUUCUGAGGGGAAUGUCCCCCACAUUGGAACUGAGGCACGGUCCAAAAUCCGACGGGAGGGAGCAGUGAGGAAUAUUGGUCAAUGGGCGGUAGCCUGAACCAGCCAAGUAGAGUGAAGGAUGAAGGGUUAUGGGUCGUAAACUUCUUUUAUAGAAGAAUAUGUAUUAUAUGAAUAAGGAUCGGCUAACUCCGUGCCAGCAGCCGCGGUAAUAC
rnacentral:rRNA from 1 species